GACGAACGCUGGCGGCGUGCUUAACACAUGCAAGUCGAACGGAAAGGCCCUGCUUUUGUGGGGUGCUCGAGUGGCGAACGGGUGAGUAACACGUGAGUAACCUGCCCUUGACUUUGGGAUAACUUCAGGAAACUGGGGCUAAUACCGGAUAGGAGCUCCUGCUGCAUGGUGGGGGUUGGAAAGAUUCGGCGGUUGGGGAUGGACUCGCGGCUUAUCAGCUUGUUGGUGGGGUAGUGGCUUACCAAGGGUUUGACGGGUAGCCGGCCUGAGAGGGUGACCGGCCACAUUGGGACUGAGAUACGGCCCAGACUCCUACGGGAGGCAGCAGUGGGGAAUAUUGCACAAUGGGCGGAAGCCUGAUGCAGCAACGCCGCGUGCGGGAUGACGGCCUUCGGGUUGUAAACCGCUUUCGCCUGUGACGAAGCGUGAGUGACGGUAAUGGGUAAAGAAGCACCGGCUAACUACGUG
rnacentral:rRNA from 1 species